rnacentral:rRNA from 1 species
UACGAAGGGGGCUAGCGUUGCUCGGAAUCACUGGGCGUAAAGGGCGCGUAGGCGGCCAUUCAAGUCGGGGGUGAAAGCCUGUGGCUCAACCACAGAAUUGCCUUCGAUACUGUUUGGCUUGAGUUUGGUAGAGGUUGGUGGAACUGCGAGUGUAGAGGUGAAAUUCGUAGAUAUUCGCAAGAACACCAGUGGCGAAGGCGGCCAACUGGACCAACACUGACGCUGAGGCGCGAAAGCGUGGGGGAGCAAACAGGG